ACUCCUACGGGAGGCAGCAGUGGGGAAUAUUGGACAAUGGGCGCAAGCCUGAUCCAGCCAUGCCGCGUGAGUGAUGAAGGCCCUAGGGUUGUAAGGCUCUUUCACCGGUGAAGAUAAUGACGGUAACCGGAGAAGAAGCCCCGGCUAACUUCGUGCCAGCAGCCGCGGUAAUACGAAGGGGGCUAGCGUUGUUCGGAUUUACUGGGCGUAAAGCGCACGUAGGCGGACUAUUAAGUCAGGGGUGAAAUCCCGGGGCUCAACCCCGGAACUGCCUUUGAUACUGGUAGUCUUGAGUUCGAGAGAGGUGAGUGGAAUUCCGAGUGUAGAGGUGAAAUUCGUAGAUAUUCGGAGGAACACCAGUGGCGAAGGCGGCUCACUGGCUCGAUACUGACGCUGAGGUGCGAAAGCGUGGGGAGCAAACAGGAUUAGAAACCCGUGUAGUCC
rnacentral:rRNA from 1 species